UCGCACCUACCGAUUGAUUGGUCCGGUGAAGCCUCGGGACUGUGGGUAUGUUCCUUUACUGGGACGUAUCUUCAGGAACUUGUCUAAACCUUAUCAAUUAGAGGAAGGUG
rnacentral:rRNA from 1 species